CUUCGGGGUACUCGAGCGGCGAACGGGUGAGUAACACGUGAGCAACCUGCCCCAGGCUUUGGGAUAACCCUCGGAAACGGGGGCUAAUACCGAAUAUGACUUCUGGCCGCAUGGCUGGGGGUGGAAAGUUUUUCGGCUUGGGAUGGGCUCGCGGCCUAUCAGCUUGUUGGUGGGGUAAUGGCCUACCAAGGCGACGACGGGUAGCCGGCCUGAGAGGGCGACCGGCCACACUGGGACUGAGACACGGCCCAGACUCCUACGGGAGGCAGCAGUGGGGAAUAUUGCACAAUGGGCGGAAGCCUGAUGCAGCGACGCCGCGUGAGGGAUGACGGCCUUCGGGUUGUAAACCUCUUUCAGCAGGGACGAAGCGAGAGUGACGGUACCUGCAGAAGAAGCACCGGCCAACUACGUGCCAGCAGCCGCGGUAAGACGUAGGGUGCGAGCGUUGUCCGGAUUUAUUGGGCGUAAAGAGCUCGUAGGCGGCUUGUCGCGUCGACUGUGAAAACCCGCGGCUCAACCGCGGGCCUGCAGUCGAUACGGGCAGGCUAGAGUUCGGUAGGGGAGACUGGAAUUCCUGGUGUAGCGGUGAAAUGCGCAGAUAUCAGAGGAACACCGGUGGCGAAAGCGGGUCUCUGGGCCGAUACUGACGCUGAGGAGCGAAAGCGUGGGGAGCGAACAGGAUUAGAUACCCUGGUAGUCCACGCUGUAAACGUUG
rnacentral:rRNA from 1 species